rnacentral:rRNA from 1 species
AGUGAACGCUGGCGGUAGGCCUAACACAUGCAAGUCGAACGGCAGCACAGUAAGAGCUUGCUCUUACGGGUGGCGAGUGGCGGACGGGUGAGGAAUACAUCGGAAUCUACUUUUUCGUGGGGGAUAACGUAGGGAAACUUACGCUAAUACCGCAUACGACCUACGGGUGAAAGCAGGGGAUCUUCGGACCUUGCGCGAUUGAAUGAGCCGAUGUCGGAUUAGCUAGUUGGCGGGGUAAAGGCCCACCAAGGCGACGAUCCGUAGCUGGUCUGAGAGGAUGAACAGCGACACUGGGACUGAGACACGGCCCAGCCCACGCCGGGAGGCAGCAGUGGGGAAUGGUGGAGAAGGGGCGAAAGCCUGAUCCAGCAAUGCCGCGUGUGUGAAGAAGGCCUUCGGGUUGUAAAGUACUCUUGUCCGGAAAGAAAACCUGGGCCCUAAUACGGUCGGGGGAGGACGGUACAGGAAGAAGAAGCACCGGCUAACUGCGUG